UGUGCUAAGGUAGCAUAAUAAUUAGCUAUUUAAUUUGUAGCUGGAAUGAAUGGUCUGACAAGAUAAUAACUUUCUUAUUUCUGAAUUAAAUUAAUUAAAGAAUAAAAAAGUUCUUAUUUUAUAGAAAGACGAUAAGACCCUAAAACCUUAUAUGUGUAUUAUAUUUACUGGGGCGGUAGUUUUUAAUCCAAAAAUUUCACUAACAUUAUGAAUGAUUCUGAGUACUCGUAUAAUUCAAAAAGGUACUUUAGGGAUAACAGCAUAAUUUUUAUUUAGAGUCCUUAUCGACAUAAAAGAUUAUGACCUCGAUGUUGAAUUGAUUUAACUCUUUGGGGCAG
rnacentral:rRNA from 1 species